GAUGAAGAACGCAGCAAAAUGCGAUAAGUAAUGUGAAUUGCAGAAUUCAGUGAAUCAUCGAAUCUUUGAACGCACAUUGCGCCCGCCAGCAUUCUGGCGGGCAUGCCUGUUCGAGCGUCAUUUCAACCCUCGACCUCCCUUUGGGGAAGUCGGCGUUGGGGACCGGCAGCACACCGCCGGCCCUGAAAUGGAGUGGCGGCCCGUCCGCGGCGACCUCUGCGUAGUAAACCAACUCGCACCGGAACCCCGACGUGGCCACGCCGUAAAACACCCAACUUCUGAACGUUGACCUCGAAUCAGGUAGGACUACCCGCUGAACUUAAGCAUAUCAAUAAGCGGAGGA
rnacentral:misc_RNA from 1 species